GACGAACGCUGGCGGUAUGCUUAACACAUGCAAGUCGAACGAGACGACGAUGUUUACAUUGUCAGAAAGUGGCGAACGGGUGAGUAACGCGUGGGUAACCUGCCCUAUGGAAAGGAAUAGCCUCGGGAAACUGGGAGUAAUGCCUUAUAAGAUACGAUUGCCGCAUGGCAAAUGUAUGAAACGCUCCGGCGCCAUAGGAUGGACCCGCGUCCCAUUAGCUGGUUGGUGAGAUAACAGCCCACCAAGGCGACGAUGGGUAACCGGUCUGAGAGGGCGAACGGUCACACUGGAACUGAGACACGGUCCAGACUCCUACGGGAGGCAG
rnacentral:rRNA from 1 species